rnacentral:tRNA from 1 species
AGCAACAUGGCGCAGGGGUAGCGCGCGGGGCUCAUAACCCCGAGGUCACUGGAUCGAAACCAGUUGUUGCUA